rnacentral:lncRNA from 12 species
AUGUAUUUCUUUUCUCAAGGAUGCUUUGAAGGGCAUCAGAGACAAACUACUGUGCACCGUGGAUUCUGUAGGGGGGGCGGGGUGCCCUUUGCCUGCGUAUGCAGUUUCGGCCUGCAGGGGGCAGCCAAAUGCAGCGCAGCGGACGGAGCAGCGGACGCAGCCCUGUUUUCAAGCCACUGGAGUAACCCUGGUUCAGAAAAAUGCAGCAAAAGCCAAACUCCGGGAGCUUGUGCAAUGUGAUACCAGCUGCAGACCUCUUCGUGGACAUAACCUGAGAACCGAAAAAGCUCAUCACAAUGACUGGCAUGUGGUCAUAUAUAUUUAUGAAAGGAAGAAACAAAAAGAAGGAGGAGCAGGAAUGAAUUUAAGAAUGAAUGACUAAGGGCAGCCCGGGUGGCUCAGCAAUUUAGAGCAGCCUUCAGCCCAGGGCCUGAUCCUGGAGUCCCGGGAUCGAGUCCCACGUCCGGCUCCCUGCAUGGAGCCUGCUUCUCCCUCUGCCUGUGUCUCUGCCUCUCUCUCUCUCUGUUUCUCAUGAACAAAUAAAAAAAAAAAAAAAAAAAAAUGAAUGACUAAG